AUUGAACGCUGGCGGCAGGCCUAACACAUGCAAGUCGAGCGGAGCGGAGGACGGGUGAGUGAUGCCUAGGAAUCAACCUGUUAGUGGGGGAAAAAGUCGGGAAACGGGCGAUAAUACCGCAUACGAGCAGAGGCGCCGAGGUUGGAUUAGCUAGUUGGUGGGGUAAAGGCCUACCAAGGCGACGAUGCGUAAGUGGUCUGAGAGGAUGAUCAGUCACACUGGAACUGAGACACGGUCCAGACUCCGACGGGAGGCAGCAGUGGGGAAUAUUGGACAAUGGGCGAAAGCCUGAUCCAGCCAUGCCGCGUGUGUGAAGAAGGUCUUCGGAUUGUAAAGCACUUUAAGUUGGGAGGCGUUAUCAACAGAAUAAGCAACGGCUAACUUCGUGCCAGCAGCCGCGGUAAUAC
rnacentral:rRNA from 1 species